UACCUGCUGGCCCGGGAGCGUUCGCCGGCCCACCUGGUGGCUUUCCCUGGACGUUUAACGGCGACUCCGCCCGGCCUCCCGACUUUUUGAUGCAGGCGUUCUCUUACAUGACUUUCUUCGAGGCUAGAUUCUCGAAAGACAUCCUGAAGGUGGCUUUCUUAAUUAGCUGCCUCACCGGCUGGCGGAGCAGUUCGUAGUCGCCUACAUCGAGAGGGAGAGCCCCGUCCUGGCUCAGUACUGGGGCUUCGUGGACGCGCUGUAGCGGGUCUUCGCCGUCGUGGGUAGGAAACAGUCGGGCCGGAUCCCCGGUGUCUGGGGAGCGGCUGCCGGCCGGGCCCGCGCGAGCCGCUUCACUCCUACAAGCCCGGCUCACUAGUUCCAAGCUGCUGGACUUUGACCCUCGCUGGGAAGCUUGAUCGCCGCCUGUUCUCGCCAAUCUCUAUGCCUUUGCACUGCCCAGCAACCCGGUCACUGCCCAGGACCUGUUAAAAGUUGAAUGGACCUCCCAGAAUCACGCCGCUGCCACCGCCGUUUCUAGAGACGGCUUUUGGCCACCUUUGAGAAUCAGGGUCAAACUUGGAAGGGCCUGCAUUUGUCACACUUCCUCGGACACUAAUUUGGAUAGUUCAGGCCCAGAGACGGCUUCCCGGUAGGCUUCACUAGCUUCCUGCUUCUCAAAUCCCUUGAAAAGAUGAGAUUUUUUUUUCGUGGAGUUCACGUCUAAUCCUUUGCACAUGGCCUGCUAUCAACAAUCCUCUACAAUGAUUCUCAGCAUCACCUAGGGAGCUUAUGUAAAAUCUCAAAUUCCUGGGCCCUAUCCCCAGAGUUUCUUAUCAAGUAAGUCUGCAUUGGGAUCUGAGGAUUUGCAUCUCUAACAAAAAUUCCUAGGCGAUGCUCACACUGUUGGUGUAAGGUUUCCUUGAUGGAGAACUAUCAAAGCAGUCAAAGCUAUCAAAAUAAAAAAGAAUUCUGAUUGGGUGCAGUGGCUCACACCUGUCAUUCCAGCACUUUGAGAGGCCAAGGUGGGCAGAUCACAUGAGGCCAGGAGUUCAAGACCAGCCUGGCCAACAUGGCAGAAACCCCAUCUCUACUAAAAAUACCAAAA
ensembl:lncRNA LINC00667 long intergenic non-protein coding RNA 667